rnacentral:snRNA from 1 species
CAUUACAUCUAAAGUUGUAUUCCCUCUGUAUCGCACCAUUUCAGAGUCAAUAAAAGAGUACUACCUCU